ACGGGUGAGUAAUACAUCGGAACGUGCCCAAGAGUGGGGGAUAACGGAGCGAAAGCUUUGCUAAUACCGCAUACGAUCUACGGAUGAAAGCAGGGGACCGCAAGGCCUCGCGCUCAUGGAGCGGCCGAUGGCAGAUUAGGUAGUUGGUGGGAUAAAAGCUUACCAAGCCGACGAUCUGUAGCUGGUCUGAGAGGACGACCAGCCACACUGGGACUGAGACACGGCCCAGACUCCUACGGGAGGCAGCAGUGGGGAAUUUUGGACAAUGGGCGCAAGCCUGAUCCAGCCAUGCCGCGUGCAGGAUGAAGGCCUUCGGGUUGUAAACUGCUUUUGUACGGAACGAAAAGCCUCUUUCUAAUAAAGAGGGGUCAUGACGGUACCGUAAGAAUAAGCACCGGCUAACUACGUGCCAGCAGCCGCGGUAAUACGUAGGGUGCGAGCGUUAAUCGGAAUUACUGGGCGUAAAGCGUGCGCAGGCGGUAAUGUAAGACAGAUGUGAAAUCCCCGGGCUCAACCUGGGAACUGCAUUUGUGACUGCAUUGCUGGAGUGCGGCAGAGGGGGAUGGAAUUCCGCGU
rnacentral:rRNA from 1 species